AGGUGGUAGGAUGGAAUUGGUGAGAUUUAGGAGCAUUUGUGAAAUCAUAAGAGCAACAACAAUGUUCAUCUGUCUUGAGACAUAUUCCUUUGUGAAAUCCAAAAUUAGUGCAUUCCUCGUGGCACUUGGUUGAACAUAAUCUAAUGCAAACAAGAACUUCUCUUCCUGCAACAAACAAACAAACAAAUAAAUAAGCAUGCAUACUCAUAAAUAUAUAUAGAAUCCAAUCAUGAUUAAGGUGCAAGAAUA
rnacentral:lncRNA from 1 species